rnacentral:tRNA from 1 species
CGAGGGUUAGCAUAUUUAAUGUGUUUCAUUUACAUUGAGAAGAUAAUUAAUUAAUUAAUUAUCCUUGA